AUUGAACGCUGGCGGCAUGCUUUACACAUGCAAGUCGAACGGUAGAGGGGGCAACCCCUUGAGAGUGGCGAACGGGUGAGUAAUGCAUCGGAACGUGCACAGUCGUGGGGGAUAACGCAGCGAAAGCUGUGCUAAUACCGCAUACGAUCUCUGGAUGAAAGCGGGGGACCGAAAGGCCUCGCGCGUUUGGCGCGGCCGAUGUCAGAUUAGGUAGUUGGUGGGGUAACGGCUCACAACGCCAACGAUCGGUAGCUGGUUUGCGAGGACGACCAGCCACACUGGGACUGAGACACGGCCCAGACUCCUACGGGAGGCAGCAGUGGGGAAUUUUGGACAAUGGGCGCAAGCCUGAUCCAGCAAUGCCGCGUGCAGGAAGAAGGCCUUCGGGUUGUAAACUGCUUUUGUACGGAACGAAAAGGUCUGGGUUAAUACCCUGGGCACAUGACGGUACCGUAAGAAUAAGCACCGGCUAACUACGUGCCAGCCGCCGCUGUAA
rnacentral:rRNA from 1 species